CUGAUGUUUUGGUCACUUUUGAAUGCUGGCGGUGCUUUCACUCUAGUGGUAGCAUGAGACGGCGUCUACAACCCACACAAGUGGCUCAGGUAGUUCAGCUCAUCCAGGAUGGCACAUCAAUGCAAGCUGUGGCAAGAAGGUUUGCUGUGUCUGUCAGCGUAGUGUCCAGAGCAUGGAGGCGCUACCAGGAGACAGGCCAGUACAUCAGGAGACGUGGAGGAGGCCGUAAGAGGGCAACAACCCAGCAGCAGGACCGCUACCUCCGCCUUUGUACAAGGAGGAACAGGAGGAGCACUGCCAGAGCCCUGCAAAAUGACCUCCAGCAGGCCACAAA